rnacentral:rRNA from 1 species
AAAGGAAUUGACGGGGGCCCGCACAAGCGGUGGAGCAUGUGGUUUAAUUCGACGCAACGCGAAGAACCUUACCAGGGCUUGACAUCCCUUGACCGCUGCAGAGAUGCAGUUUUCAGCUUGCUGACAAGGAGACAGGUGGUGCAUGGCUGUCGUCAGCUCGUGUCGUGAGAUGUUGGGUUAAGUCCCGCAACGAGCGCAACCCUUAUCCUUAGUUGCCAGCAUUUAGUUGGGCACUCUAAGGAGACUGCCACGGACAACGUGGAGGAAGGUGGGGAUGACGUCAAGUCAUCAUGCCCUUUAUGUCCUGGGCUACACACGUGCUACAAUGGUUCGUACAGAGGGAAGCAAAGCCGCGAGGUGGAGCCAAUCCCACAAAGCGAACCUCAGUUCGGAUUGGAGUCUGCAACUCGACUCCAUGAAGUCGGAAUCGCUAGUAACCGCAGAUCAGCAUGCUGCGGUGAAUACGUUCCCGGGCCUUGUACACACCGCCCGU